CGUGCCGCUGCUUCCGCCGCGAGAUCGGCCCUCCGCCCGGCGCCGCUCGCCGGCCGCAGCCUCGGCUCGGCCCUGCCGUCUCGCUCCCCCGUACCGGCCGCCCGUGUCAUCCGCAGGGCGGCGGCGCUGGAGACGCUGCUGCCCCUGCACACGGCGGUGGCCUCGGCGCGCCUCAGGUCCUGCAUCGCCGUCGACUCCGCCUGCUGGAGCCCGCUCUCCCUAGGCCGACCACUGAGUACGUGCUGA
rnacentral:rRNA from 1 species